rnacentral:lncRNA from 1 species
AGGUGGAAGAGUUGAGGGGGAGAGAACCGUGAAACUUGACAGGAGAUAGUUUUGGGCUGGGAAUGGACUGGAUUAUAUUUUUUACAGAGCCCACUCGAAAUACCAUUUCCAGUUCAGCUGAGCUGAACUGGCAAAAAAGAACUUCUUUAUUGGUUGAUUUUUUAUUCUGAUGUGGCAGCUUCACCAUUGAGUAUAUCCUGCUUUUGGUAUUGUAUAUGUUGUUGUGGAGUUUUAUGUAAUUUCACACAUCCUCCUUGC